rnacentral:guide_RNA from 1 species
GGCAAUCGUAGACUUAUAGAGUAAUGUGAAGUAAAUAU